rnacentral:rRNA from 1 species
AGUGAACGCUGGCGGUAGGCCUAACACAUGCAAGUCGAACGGCGGCACAGUAAGAGCUUGCUCUUACGGGUGGCGAGUGGCGGACGGGUGAGGAAUACAUCGGAAUCUACUUUUUCGUGGGGGAUAACGUAGGGAAACUUACGCUAAUACCGCAUACGACCUACGGGCGAAAGCAGGGGAUCUUCGGACCUUGCGCGAUUGAAUGAGCCGAUGUCGGAUUAGCUAGUUGGCGGGGUAAAGGCCCACCAAGGCGACGAUCCGUAGCUGGUCUGAGAGGAUGAUCAGCCACACUGGAACUGAGACACGGUCCAGACUCCUACGGGAGGCAGCAGUGGGGAAUAUUGGACAAUGGGCGCAAGCCUGAUCCAGCCAUACCGCGUGGGUGAAGAAGGCCUUCGGGUUGUAAAGCCCUUUUGUUGGGAAAGAAAAGCAGCAGGUUAAUACCCCGCUGUUCUGACGGUACCCAAAGAAUAAGCACCGGCUAACUUCGUG